rnacentral:tRNA from 1 species
GUGGUUUUAGCUCAGUGGUUAGAGCGUUUGUCUCCCAUGUCAAGGUGGCGGGUUCGAGGCCCGUGAGCGGCG